rnacentral:rRNA from 1 species
GUAAAGAGCGGCGGACGGGUGAGUAACGCGUGGGUAACCUACCCUGUACACACGGAUAACAUACCGAAAGGUAUGCUAAUACGGGAUAAUAUAUUUGAGAGGCAUCUCUUAAAUAUCAAAGGUGAGCUAGUACAGGAUGGACCCGCGUCUGAUUAGCUAGUUGGUAAGGUAACGGCUUACCAAGGCGACGAUCAGUAGCCGACCUGAGAGGGUGAUCGGCCACAU